GAGUUUGAUCCUGGCUCAGGAUGAACGCUGGCGAGAUGCUUUACACAUGCAAGUCGUACGAGAGUCUUUGACUCGAGUGGCGGACGGGUGAGUAACACGUAAGAAUUUGCCUUUAGGAGGGGGACAACAACUGGAAACGGUUGCUAACACCCCAUAUGCUUUCGAGUGAAAUGGAUUUUUCCGCCUAGAGAGAAGCUUGCGGCUGAUUAGCUUGUUGGUAGGGUAAUGGCUUACCAAGGCGACGAUCAGUAUCUGGUUUGAGAGGACGAUCAGACACACUGGAACUGAGACACGGUCCAGACUCCUACGGGAGGCAGCAGUGGGGAAUUUUCCGCAAUGGGCGAAAGCCUGACGGAGCAAUCUCGCGUGAGGGUUGACUGCCUAUGGGUUGUAAACCUCUUUUUUCAGGGAGGAAUAAAUGACGUGUACCUGAAGAAUAAGCAUCGGCUAACUCCGUGCCAGCAGCCGCGGUAAUACGGAGGAUGCAAGUGUUAUCCGGAAUCACUGGGCGUAAAGCGUCUGUAGGUGGUUUAAUAAGUCAACUGUUAAAUCUUGAGGCUCAACUUCAAAAUC
rnacentral:rRNA from 1 species